rnacentral:lncRNA from 1 species
CAGGAAGGCAAUAUCUGAAAUCUUUAAUCUAUUCCACUGUUGACCAGGGAAGUAGAAUUUCUGGCUUCAAUAUACUCCACUGCAACUUCAGGGAGGUAAAAUUCACCAUCUUUGAUCUGCUCCGCUGUUUAUGUAGGAAGGCAAGAUCUGAAAUCUUUGAUCUAUUCCACUGCUGCCCAGGGAAGUAGAAUUUCUGGCUUCAAUGUACUCC